UACGUAGGGUGCGAGCGUUAAUCGGAAUUACUGGGCGUAAAGCGUGCGUAGGUGGUUCGUUGUGUCUGUGGUGAAAGCCCCGGGCUUAACCUGGGAAUGGCCAUGGAAACUGGCGAGCUGGAGUCUGGCAGAGGGGGGUGGAAUUCCGCGUGUAGCAGUGAAAUGCGUAGAGAUGCGGAAGAACACCAGUGGCGAAGGCGGUCAACUGGCCUCAUAUUGACACUCAGACGCGAAGGCAUGGGUAGCGAACGGG
rnacentral:rRNA from 1 species